rnacentral:lncRNA from 1 species
UGGCCUAUUUUUGGCACACGGAGGCCGCCCGCCAAGUCUGGGGCCAUUCCGAGUCCCGCGGACGAACUUCGCCCACGCCCCCCACCAAGGCUAUAGCCCACCCUUUUUUUGGCCAUUUUUCCGCUGGGGGGUCUUGGGACCCCGACCUUCGGGGGCUGAUUUUUGGGCGCGGCUGUGCCCGUGGCCUAUUUUGGCACACGGAGGCCGCCCGCCAAGUCAGGGGCCAUUCCGAGUCCCGCGGACGAAGUUCGCCCACGCCCCCCACCAAGGCUAUAGCCCACCCGUUUUUUGGCCAUUUUUCCACUCGGGGGUCUUGGGACCCCGACCUUCGGGGGCUGAUUUUUGUGCGCGGCUGUGCCCGUGGCCUAUUUUUGGCACACAGAGGCCGCCCGCCAAGUAUGGUGCCAUUCCGAGUCCCGCGGACGAACUUCGCCCACGCCCCCCACCAAGGCUAUAGCCCACCCGUUUUUUGGCCAUUUUUCCGCUGGGGGGUCUUGGGACCCCGACCUUCGGGGGCUGAUUUUUGGGCGCGGCUGUGCCCGUGGCCUAUUUUUGGCAGACAGAGGCCGCCCGCCAAGUCAGGGGCCAUUCCGAGUCCCGCGGACGAACUUCGCCCACGCCCCCCACCAAGGCUAUAGCCCACCCGUUUUUUGGCCAUUUUUCCGCUGGGGGGUCUUGGGACCCCGACCUUCGGGGGCUGAUUUUUGGGCGCGGCUGUGCCCGUGGCCUAUUUUUGGCACACAGAGGCCGCCCGCCAAGUAUGGUGCCAUUCCGAGUCCCGCGGACGAACUUUGCCCACGCCCCCCACCAAGGCUAUAGCCCACCCGUUUUUUGGCCAUUUUUCCGCUGGGGGGUCUUGGGACCCCGACCUUCGGGGGCUGAUUUUUGGGCGCGGCUGUGCCCGUGGCCUAUUUUUGGCACACGGAGGCCGCCCGCCAAGUCAGGGGCCACUCCGAGUCCCGCGGACGAAGUUCGCCCACGCCCCCCACCAAGGCUAUAGCCCACCCGUUUUUUGGCCAUUUUUCCGCUGGGGGGUCUUGGGACCCCGACCUUCGGGGGCUGAUUUUUGGGCGCGGCUGUGCCCGUGGCCUAUUUUUGGCACACGGAGGCCGCCCGCCAAGUCAGGGGCCAUUCCGAGUCCCGCGGACGAAGUUCGCCCACGCCCCCCACCAAGGCUAUAACCCACCCGUUUUUUGGCCAUUUUUCCACUGGGCGGUCUUGGGACCCCGACCUUCGGGGGCUGAUUUUUGGGCGCGGCUGUGCCCGUGGCCUAUUUUUGGCACACAGAGGCCGCCCGCCAAGUAUGGNN